GAGCAGAUAUCCAAAUUGGUUAAGGAAGCUGACUGUAAAUUAGUGGCCCUCGCGCAUUAGGAGUUCGAGUCUCUUUCUGCUCA